rnacentral:rRNA from 1 species
ACGUAGGUGGCGAGCGUUAUCCGGAUUCAUUGGGCGUAAAGAGCUUGUAGGUGGUGCGAUAAGUUGGACGUGAAAACUCCGGGCUUAACUUGGAGAGGCCGUUCAAUACUGUUGUGCUAGAGGGCGUCAGAGGGAAGUGGAAUUCCUGGUGUAGCAGUGAAAUGCGUAGAUAUCAGGAGGAACAUCCGUGGCGAAGGCGGCUUCCUGGGGCGUACCUGACACUGAGAAGCGAAAGCUAGGGGAGCAAACGG